GCCCAGACGGAGAUAUUCAUUAUCACCCACUUCCGUGGGUUGGAGACCCUGACCCCCGCCAGUUAUUCCCCCACUAACCUGUUCUUUACCCAGCAGUUAUCCACCCACUCCAGUGGACUCCCCGUCCGGCUUCCCGGGUUCUGCCUGUACGAUCUCACCAAACUGCACUACAGCACCCGAAGAGCUGACCGAACGAGACCGGAUAGAUCACCAGUGCACAUUUACAUUGUUCAAAUAAAUUCCUUUUUACCUUU